rnacentral:rRNA from 1 species
AUGGCUCAGAUUGAACGCUAGCGGGAUGCUUUACACAUGCAAGUCGAACGGCAGCGCGAGAGAGCUUGCUCUCUUGGCGGCGAGUGGCGGACGGGUGAGUAAUAUAUCGGAACGUGCCCAGUAGCGGGGGAUAACUACUCGAAAGAGUGGCUAAUACCGCAUACGCCCUACGGGGGAAAGGGGGGGAUCGCAAGACCUCUCACUAUUGGAGCGGCCGAUAUCGGAUUAGCUAGUUGGUGGGGUAAAGGCUCACCAAGGCAACGAUCCGUAGCUGGUUUGAGAGGACGACCAGCCACACUGGGACUGAGACACGGCCCAGACUCCUACGGGAGGCAGCAGUGGGGAAUUUUGGACAAUGGGGGAAACCCUGAUCCAGCCAUCCCGCGUGUAUGAUGAAGGCCUUCGGGUUGUAAAGUACUUUUGGCAGAGAAGAAAAGGUAUCCCCUAAUACGGGAUACUGCUGACGGUAUCUGCAGAAUAAGCACCGGCUAACUACGUGCCAGCAGCCGCGGUAAUACGUAGGGUGCAAGCGUUAAUCGGAAUUACUGGGCGUAAAGCGUGUGUAGGCGGUUCGGAAAGAAAGAUGUGAAAUCCCAGGGCUCAACCUUGGAACUGCAUUUUUAACUGCCGAGCUAGAGUAUGUCAGAGGGGGGUAGAAUUCCACGUGUAGCAGUGAAAUGCGUAGAUAUGUGGAGGAAUACCGAUGGCGAAG